rnacentral:rRNA from 1 species
AUUGAACGCUGGCGGCAUGCCUUACACAUGCAAGUCGAACGGUAACAGGUUAAGCUGACGAGUGGCGAACGGGUGAGUAAUGUAUCGGAACGUGCCCAGUCGUGGGGGAUAACUGCUCGAAAGAGCAGCUAAUACCGCAUACGACCUGAGGGUGAAAGCGGGGGAUCGCAAGACCUCGCGCGACUGGAGCGGCCGAUAUCAGAUUAGGUAGUUGGUGGGGUAAAGGCCUACCAAGCCGACGAUCUGUAGCUGGUCUGAGAGGACGACCAGCCACACUGGGACUGAGACACGGCCCAGACUCCUACGGGAGGCAGCAGUGGGGAAUUUUGGACAAUGGACGCAAGUCUGAUCCAGCCAUGCCGCGUGCGGGAAGAAGGCCUUCGGGUUGUAAACCGCUUUUGUCAGGGAAGAAACGCUCUGGGUUAAUACCUCGGGGUAAUGACGGUACCUGAAGAAUAAGCACCGGCUAACUACGUGCCAGCCGCCGCCGUAA